AUUGAACGCUGGCGGCAGGCCUAACACAUGCAAGUCGAGCGGAUGAAGGGAGCUUGCUCCUGGAUUCAGCGGCGGACGGGUGAGUAAUGCCUAGGAAUCUGCCUGGUAGUGGGGGAUAACGUCCGGAAACGGGCGCUAAUACCGCAUACGUCCUGAGGGAGAAAGUGGGGGAUCUUCGGACCUCACGCUAUCAGAUGAGCCUAGGUCGGAUUAGCUAGUUGGUGGGGUAAAGGCCUACCAAGGCGACGAUCCGUAACUGGUCUGAGAGGAUGAUCAGUCACACUGGAACUGAGACACGGUCCAGACUCCUACGGGAGGCAGCAGUGGGGAAUAUUGGACGAUGGGCGAAAGCCUGAUCCAGCCAUGCCGCGUGUGAAGAAGGUCUUCGGAUUGUAAAGCACUUUAAGUUGGGAGGAAGGGCAGUAAGUUAAUACCUUGCUGUUUCGACGUUACCAACAGAAUAAGCACCGGCUAACUUCGUG
rnacentral:rRNA from 1 species